UUUCUUCGCUCUGGCUAAUACAGCUCUGCCCUCUCCGUUUUUCAAUCUUACUCAACUUAAAACAGCCUUUGCUGACGUUGGCCUAAACCGCACUUCCGAUCUAGUUGCUCUUUCCGGUAAAAAAAUUCAUGUUACAUCAUCUAACUCUAAUUAAGAUAUGCAUGUGUUUAAAAUGCAAUUCCUUUUUAUAUAUUGAUAGCUAGCUAAGCUAGACAGACACAUUCCUAGACUAAGUCUAGAAUUUACAUAGUAAUUUGUAAGUAAUAAAAUUACAAUGUUAACUCAAUGUUUUAGAUUAUUUUGUUAGAGUGAUCUACAAAAUUUACUUUUUAUGUAUUUUUUUUCUUUCUUAUAGAUAUGAUUUGGUUUGAGCUUUGAAAUUGUCUUAUAAUAUUUAAGGGUUUUAUUUUUCUACAAUGUUUGAGUUCGAAUUUUAGCAAUAUUUAUUUAUUAGAAAGUUUUUGAAGGUAUAUGAAUUAGUUAACAUGAGUUAAAGAUAGAAAAACAUUUUCUUGGAAUACAUGACCAAAUAGCUGUUAAGAAAAACAUGACCGAAUGUAAAUGAAAAAAAGAAAGAAAAUCUAAUCAAAUACAAAUCAUCUAGCACGUGAUUUUUCAAUUUUAACUGAGUUGGUAAACGACAAAUCAUGUUUAUCUUUAAAUAAAAUCACUAAUUCCAUUUAUCUAAACCUUAAUGUUUUGUCAAAACGUUUUAGGUGGUCACACAUUUGGAAGAGCACAAUGCCAGUUCGUGACGCCUCGUCUCUACAACUUCAAUGGUACAAACAGUCCAGACCCAAGUCUGAACCCAACUUACCUUGUCGAACUCCGUCGAUUGUGUCCUCAAAACGGAAACGGCACCGUUCUGGUCAACUUCGAUGUCGUGACUCCAGAUGCUUUCGAUAGUCAAUACUACACCAACCUUCGUAAUGGGAAAGGUCUUAUUCAGAGUGACCAGGAACUCUUUUCGACUCCAGGAGCCGAUACGAUCCCUUUAGUAAACCAAUACAGCAGCGACAUGUCCGUGUUCUUUCGAGCAUUCAUUGACGCAAUGAUUAGGAUGGGAAAUCUUAGACCUUUGACUGGAACUCAAGGAGAGAUUAGACAAAAUUGUAGGGUUGUGAAUCCACGAAUUAGGGUUGUGGAGAACGACGAUGGUGUUGUGAGUUCUAUCUGAUUAUGCAUGUUGCCAUGUUGGGGAUAUAUAUAUGGAUAUGUAAGAAAGUAUAAAAUGCGCACGUGAGAACAAUUUCGACUAAUAAAAGUUUUCACGAGUUAUGAGAUUUAUGAAAUUGGUAUUAAGUACACUUACAAUGCAUAUAUACGUGGUGUUUAUAACACUUCAAUUUCUGACAUGUAUUCAAGUAGCUUUUGAUUUAACAUCACGUCGAAAUUUAUAAUAUAUAUUCAAGCAAAUUGUUGAAAUAAAAUGUCCUAGUUUUUGUCAGCUUUCGUUACUUAUAAAUGAGAAGAAAAGACAAGGAGCUAAACUGCUAAAGUAUUAGAUUAGGUUAACUUUUGUUAACCACAAAAUCUAGCACAUGGACGCGUAUGAAGUUGAUAAAUCAUAUAUGUAUUAGGUAACAUUGUUAUUUCAGAUUAAAUUGUUUUGAGCAAGAAUUGUAUAAAAAGUUUAUCGAUUUGUGAAGGUGGCUUCUGAGGCUACAUUUGCGGGAUUCACGGGGAAGAGAAGGACAAAACAUAAGGAAUUCUAUUUUUCAUAAAAUAUUAAUUAGGAAGAUAGUUUGAAAAUGUUUGCCAAUUAGGAAGGACAAUCCUUUUAGAAGGUUUUCCGAGAUUUUUUUUUUUGUCUUGUAUCCAAUUAUAAAUGUACGUACCUCGUGUAUAAAUUAAAAAAAAAAAAGUUUAAACAUUCCUUUGAAACUACAACAAACUCAUUUAUACAAAUAUCCGUCCCCUCAAAAAUUCAGAUAUAUCAACAAGAACACGUCACAAAUAAAACGUAAUUAUGGUAACAUGAUGAUAUUAUAUUUUCCUACAUAGACAUAACUUGUGUCUAACAUGAAUCAACAAACAUAUCUUUUACGACCCUACAUAAUCCAAAAUUGAUAUCAAAUAUCGUACUAAUUUCAUUUUCCGUACCACUGUUGAAAUUUGUGUCGUUUAUAAAUUAUUUAUCAAACUUGAAAAAUAUCUAAGAAUAAGAAUAUAUUGGCGGAAUUGAGAAACAUUAGAUACGUACGUCGAUUUGUAGUAAGUAAAAAAUGUAGGGGAGACGGUUCUAAAAAGUUGUAAUUGAAGUUAAAAUGAUCAAUCUUACUUGAUUUAUCACAGCGUCGGACAAAUACAGCCAAACACUACGAGCAAGUUUAAUUCUGUCCAAAGAAUAUAUAGCACGUCGAAAUUAGUUUAUUUUAAAUUCUAAUUAUUAUUUAUCCUUCAACCACUCUAGUAAAACACAUGGCCUUAAAAAAAGACCUAAUAGUAUUUUUUAAGAACACAAUACCUAAUAGUCUAAAAUACCAUUAAAGAAAGACUCGAACAUCUCUAUAUAGUGUUCCUUCUAGGCCCUUAGUUAAUACACACACUCACAACUCAAAUCAUCUUUUUGUCUCCCUCCUGAAAAAAUGGGGUUUUCGUCUUCAUUAUCUUGCAGUGCUAUGGGAGCCCUAAUAGUGGGUUGCCUUCUGCUUCAAGCAUCAAACUCUAAUGCUCAGUUGAGACCUGACUUCUACUUCAGGACUUGCCCACCUAUUUUCAACAUCAUUGGGGAUACCAUCGUCAAUGAGCUGCGGACUGAUCCUCGUAUUGCCGCGAGCCUCCUUCGGCUUCACUUCCAUGACUGCUUUGUUCGUGUAAGGACUUACUCAACGUAUCUUUUUUGUUAGUAAAAAAAACUACGUCGUCUACUUUUACAUAUAUAUAUUGAAUGGAGGCUAACAUCCAUUUUUAAUGAUAAAUAAUGUCUUCAUGUUAUGUAACAUAUAUGGUUUUAUAGGGUUGUGAUGCAUCGAUCUUGCUUGACAAUUCCACAUCAUUCCGGACCGAGAAAGAUGCUGCUCCAAACAAAAAUUCGGUUCGAGGGUUCGAUGUCAUAGAUAGAAUGAAAGCAGCCAUUGAGAGAGCUUGCCCAAGAACAGUUUCUUGCGCAGAUAUUAUCACCAUCGCCUCUCAGAUAUCAGUUCUUUUGGUAUGUACAUAUAUAUACCUACAUGACUUAUGAUAUUGAUCGGGUGAAGUUAAUCCAAAUAUAUUAUGAAUUUGACAUCAAUGCUUUAUAUGUUAUAGUCUGGCGGUCCAUGGUGGCCAGUUCCGUUGGGGAGAAGAGACAGCGUAGAAGCUUUCUUCGCUCUGGCUAAUACAGCUCUUCCCUCUCCAUUUUCCACUCUUACUCAACUUAAAACAGCUUUUGCUGACGUUGGCCUAAACCGCCCUUCGGAUUUAGUCGCCCUCUCCGGUAAUAUAUAUUUUCGUUCUUGAUCUAGCUAGAUACAAUUCAUUUUAUCUAUUUAUAGCUAGCUAAUUACAAGAUGAUUCAUAGAAUUAUUUUGUAUUUAUAAUUAGAAUGAUCAACUUCAAUUAAUCUAUAUUUAGUAUUAAAAGGCGUUUUUGAGGCAUAUGAAUUAGUUAACAUGAGUUUAGUUAGAAAACCCUCUUGCUUCAUCUUGAGAAAAAAGACUUAGUAGAAAACCAUCUCAAACAAAUAUCUUCUACGUACCACUUGAGUUUGGAUUAUAAAAGGACUUGGUAGAAUGAAAAAGCAUGACUCAUAAUUAAAUAAAACGUACAAUGUAUCUAAUCCUUCAUUUGUCAAAAUGGUAGGUGGUCACACAUUUGGAAAAGCACAAUGCCAAUUCGUGACACCUCGUCUUUACAACUUCAACGGUACCAACAGACCAGACCCAAGUUUGAACCCAACUUACCUCGUUGAACUCCGUCGAUUGUGUCCUCAAAACGGAAACGGCACCGUUCUGGUUAACUUCGAUUCCGUGACUCCAACUACUUUCGAU
rnacentral:lncRNA from 1 species